ACGACCUUACUUGAACAGGAUCUGUUCUAUAGGUUCGUACCACUGUAUCCUUGAUUCCUAAGGAGACAGAAAACCAAGUCUGGUUGAUGACUCAUGGCCAUGAGACUAGAGCGUGAUUAACAGUCACCCGUGGCUCUUCUAGUUGUGUGGUCCAGUAGAUGAUCGUUCUCAGACCUGUUGUUGAGGUCUGAGAUGGUUUCAUGGCUGUCUGACAGACUCAUUUCUUUUUGCUUUUUCGUUAACAACAAUGUCAGUGAGUUUCGUAUCACAAAACUUGUUGCCAAAAUGAAUGGUUUGCACUUGGCUGACCUAAACAAGCACUUCACUAUGGGUUCUGUUGGACUGGUGCUUAUAUGUGACAAACACUUCUAGUUCUACAUUAACUAGACUUACACGUCUUGCAUACACCAUACAGUUUGAUCCUUUAAGCAUGAAAAUGAAAACCAAAUGGUUGCAACUUGCAACCAUUAGAAAUUGACUUGCACUAUCAGAACAAGUAUGAUAUGGUCCAAGAAAACUGUCCCACGUGAAAAAAUGUUUAUAUCCAAAGAAAACAACAACAACAAAUGCUUCUGUCCAAGAGGAGAAUACAAGAGCAAUUUACUAACAUAUAUUAAAAAAAGUUUCUUGGCAUGUCUAAGAACCCUGCAGAUGUUAACUUUUAUUUUAUUGGUUUCCUUGCUAGCAAGCACCAUCAUUCUUUUCUUCAAUCCUCAAAUUCUUUAAGCAUUAUAAAAGGAACACUUGUUACUUAGACUGUGACAUGUCCAGGAACCCUGUAGAACUUGACAAAAAAAUUACUGUAUAAAACUUUUCUCAUUUUAUUGGUGUCUUUGCUAGAAACCACCAUCAUUCUUUAAGCAUUUGCUCUUGUUUCCUUCAUCUACUAUUUUCCCCAUUUUAGACCUAUUGGAAAGAGAUGAAAACUGAGAUAAGGACCAGAACUGAGAACAACUAGUAUCAUUAUUACCGGCUAUAUUCAAGCUUUAGAAAGAGAUGUCUGGGGAAAUCGAAGAGGUCGGAGAAGAUAUCAAGAGUACUACAAUGAGCAGUAAAGAUGCAGAAACUGGUGAAGUUUAUGUAGUUGUCGGAAAAAAUGACUUGCAUGUUCUUCAAUGGGCACUUGAUCAUGCUAUUUCCUCUGGAUUUCGCAUCUGCCUCGUGCAUAUUUUUCCUACCAUUAAGUACAUCCCAACACCAGGUAACUUUUAUGCUUACACUCCAAAUCUAUCUAAAAAAAAGUCAAUACAGAUACAUAGGAGAUGAGUCAUUGCUAUCAAUUUCCUUUUUCUCUUUUGUUCUUUUUCAGUUUUUGGUUCAUCUAGCUUUACCAAUAUCAUAAACAAGACUGUAUAUUGAAUAGAGUCACAUAUGGAGAGGGUGGAUUUAUUUAAAAAAUAAGGGAACUCAAGAACAUGAAGGGUAUAUAUUGUAUAUACUGGUUCAGUUUUCUUGUUGCUGAUGCUGUCUCAUUAGUGAAAGAUGUAGAUGGACCUAUACAUACUAAAUGUUAAUUCCAAAGUUACUAAUGAAUAUGUUUUGUUCUCCAGAGAUAAUUAAUUGAAACUGAAAGAUGGAGCUCAACAGCUCAAGAAUCCUAGGAUUCUUCGCUUAGUCUUUAGCGAGUUAAUUGUUAGCUAACAUGUGAAUAAGUUCCCUACAGAUUUCCCCAAGUACAUUUUUCUGUAUACUUUCUAGGAAAGAAGGGAAUCUGGGAUCACCGAUAAAGUUUUGGCUCAAACCUGUGACCUACAGAUUAUGGGUUUCAGUCGUGGAAUCAGCCAAUGACAAGUGCAUUAAGGAAGGGUGCUUAUCAUACAACCCCUUAGGGUGUGUUCCUUCCAUGGACCCUACAUGAAUGUGGGUUGCCAUGCACCACCCGACCUUUUCUCCGCUAGAAACAAAGGGAACUUUGAUGGGGAGAAAAACAAAAAUGAAACUGAUAUUUGCAUCAGAAUUGACUUGCUUGCACUACACUCUCUAAUUGGGUGAGUCGCUCCCUCGACCUUGCGUGAAUAUGGAAUGUUUUGAGCACCAAGCUACCUUUUCCUAGGAACCAAGGAAAAGUUGAUGAAAUAAAAGUAAAACGAAACAACUUGCUAAAGAACAUAGCUAAGUUGAACUUUGUGUGAUAGUUGGGAACUUAUCGAGAAGCCGAUUGAGCAAAGAGCAAGUGCAAGUCUACAUCAAUGAAGAGAGUAACCGGAGGAAGAAUCUAUUGGAGAAAUAUAUUCGCCUAUGCAAUGAUGCCAAAGUAGGUGCAUGUCUAUAUCAAUCAGAAACUUCACAUCCAAAAUGUUGUUACAUGACAGUUCUUGAUUUUACUUUGGCCGCUAGGUACCAGUUGAUACUAUGCUUGUCGAAAGCAAUUCACCAGCUAAAGCAUUACUUGACCUAAUUCCUGUUGUCAAAAUUACCAGCCUUGUCAUCGGAACCAGGCUAUCACGUUCCACAAGGUAAACAUAGUUCUCCUCUACAACAUGAAAUUAUCGGAGUUCAAGUGUGCUAUACUGCUAUAAUGCUAUUAUUUGUCUAAUUCAGGCGAGCAAGGAAGGGACAAUAUAAAGGAGAAUAUGUUCAAGAAAAUGCACCAGAAUUCUGUGAGGUUAAAGUGGUAGGCGAAGUACAGCAACCAAAAGAGAGUUUUAGUCGAAGGCAGCCUGAGAUUCCAAGACAUUCUGACAGGAAUUUCCUUGAAUGCAUAUGCUUUUCUAGAAAGUUUUAUUGAAACAUUGAAAGCAAGAAUGUGACAAGUUAUUUUCCCAGUACUUUAACUAACUGUAGACCAACAUAGACCAGUAUAUUUGCUUCUUUGGAUUCACUUUGCAAAUUGGAAACAGAUGUUUGUUACUAAUUUACAUGUUUAACAAAAUAUGCAUCUUCAGUUAAACUUUUGUCCUUGUUCCUAAAUGAAUCUCAUGUUCAUUAACCUGUUUGUUUAUGUUGAAUGCGCUUCAUUUCCUUGUUUUCUUCUACUGUUUUCUGCAAUUUGGACUCUUGGUAAGAUAUGAAAACUGAGAAGAGACCACAGUUUUCACCCAAGGUAAAAUGCUCCUGUUUUCACCGAUCCAAUGUGGUGAAGAUGCCCAUAUUCUAUGAGAGUAAGUGCAAGUGAAAAACAGGUGAGAAAGUGUCUCCAUAUCAUCAGACAUGCAUAGAACACAUUCCUCGGCCACUUGGAUUCCCCAUUUAUGUAAUCUGUCAACUGUGGCUAGUCUACCUUGUAGAGAUAGCCAGCCAUAGUAGAAGAAAACAAUAGUCCGAGAGCUGGCACACUGAGGUUCCUCCUUUUUGCUGCUAUCAUUUACCACAUUUGGGCUGAGAGGAAUGCUAGAAGAUUCCAAGCUACCAGUACUGAUCCUAAUCACAGAAUUAGACAGAUUGUGUUCCAGCUUCACAUUUGAGGACAAAAGCAGAGCAAAUGGUCAAGAAUUCUAGAUAGCCUGAAUAGUUUCCCUACUUAGACAGAUACUACUACCUGUAUUAGUGUAGUGAAGUAGAUAAAUGUUGAGAUCUAGUUUCUAGAGUCCAAAUGGAACUAGUGCUUUGUAAAUAUUACACUUGGUUGAUAUAAAAUUUUUAUUUCAACCAACAAAAAAAUGAAAACUGAGAAGAGGGACCAGAACUUAGAACAAGUAGCGUCAUUAUUACCGGCUACAUUCAAGAUUUAUAGAAAGAGAUGUCUGGGGAAAUAGAAGAGAUCGGAGAUCAAGAUAGCAAGAGUAGUACAUUAACAAGCGAAGAUGCAGAAAUUAAUGAUGUUUAUGUAAUUGUUGGAAAUACUGACUUGCAUGUUCUUCAAUGGGCACUUGAUCAUAUGCUAUUUCCUUCCGAUUUCACAUCUUCCUCGCACACAUUUUUCCUCCCAUUUAGCUACAUCCCUACACCAGAUAAUUACAUACUAUUACACUUGCACUCUAUACUUUAUCUUAAUAGAUAUAGGAGAUGAGACAUUGAGUGUUUGGUAAGGUCAAUUCGCUAUUUGUUUCUCCACUAGAUUUCCUUAUGCUUUUUUAUUCUUUUUUAGUUUUUGAUUCAUCUAACUGUAGCUAUAGUACAAACAAGAUGGUAAAUUCAAGACAUCACAUCAGCGAGAGUGGGGGACUGUCAAUUCAUUUACUGAACAAAGGAUGAUGCUUAUGAACUUUGCAGCAGUUAGAGACUCCAAGUGCAUUUUCUAAUUACCUUCUAGGAGCAAAGGAAAAUUUGAUGGAAAAAGAAAAUGCAAAAUGAAACAACUUUCUAGAAAACAUUGGUAAGCUGAAUUUUGCAUGAUAGUUGGAAACUUAUCAAGAAGCCAAUUUAGCAAAAUGCAAGUGCAAGCCUACAUCAAUGAAGAGAGUAACAGGAGGAUAUCAGACCAUUCCUGGUGAAAUCUCAACACAUGAUUGAUAGAUACCAAAAGCAAGAACUACAAGAAACAGACUAGUACUACGACAAACAAGCCUAAACCUUUGAAAACCAAAGUCAGUACCAGUUGAAAAUUCCUUGUUCUGGAGGAAAUAUCCACUUGCCAUUAGACCAUUCUUGAUGAAGUCUCAAGACAUCAGGAGGAUAUGCAAUGUUAUCUGCAGUAGUAGGGAAGUAGACAUACAACUCUUCUCCAACUAUUCCACUGAUGAAUCCAAACCACCAUCCAUCAUUGGCAAAUACAUCAACCACAUCGUAGAGACGGAAGUUGUUUUCUGACAAUAUUUUAUGUUGAUCAGGUGGCACAGGGCGGACCUUGGAUGCAGUGACAACAUCCUCUAGUGGGGCACAGACUCAUCAUCAGAAAACAAUGUCUUGUACUUGACUCUGUAAAGAUAAGAGCCAAUGGGAGAAAUAAUAGUUGCUGUGUAGUAAGAACCUAUGAGUCCAUCUUCUUGGCUUGCCACUUCAACUUCAUCACCUUUUUCGAAUGGUUUUUGAAUCUGUUGUUUCUUGAAUGCUAUUUCUUUUAUUGCCUUUGACAUCCUAUCAAUUCUUGAUUGGUGGAGUUCCUUUGAAAAAUUUGUGUCUGCAUUGAUAAAGCCAUUGAGAAACUCUACUGGAGACUGAUUCAAUUGAAUGAAAAAAAGUGAUGAACUUGACGGGCUUUUGCUAGUGAAUUUAUAGGAACAGAAUUUUGUUGUCCUUAUUUAUCCAAAUCAUCAACAAGAGCGACAACGCCCCUAGAAGAGACUCCCCCAACAGUCUAAAUUGUAAUGUUCUAAUUUAAUUUCUUUCAAAACAUGCACAGAAAUACAAUGCGCACACACACAAAAAAAACAAGUGAAUACACAAACUUUAUUUCAAGGAACAAAGUGUAUAAAAGAGAUAGGUGCUACACUAACCUGACAAUGCUUUUGGCUCAGUUUUAACUUUCUUACAUCCUCUUGAAGUUCCAAAUUCAGUGUUCUUUUCCUCUUCUUCGGAACUGCUGAGAUCCUCCAAAUGUCUAAUGUUGGUACAAGGUUUUUUGGAGUAGGGCACGACAUGGAAGGUGGACUUGUCGACGAGGUAGAAUAUCAACAUGUCCCCUAGCUCCAACAUAUGAUGCACCACAAACCGUGGCCAGUCUCCUUUACAUAUGAAGUAAUCAGACGUCUCCCUCGCUAUCUUGACUUCCCAUAACAUCCCUUCAUUCGUUUUCAGUAAGGCCGUCUUCGCCAACAUCUUCUUGUUUUCUUUAACAAAAGCACCCGGCAUUCGCUAACAAGUCACAUCAGCGAUGGUAGGAAAACUCAGUUACAAAGCAACAAUAUAGAUGUGGACUUUUUAUUAACAAUAACAACAUAUUCAGUAUAUCGAGGGUAAAUAUAAUACUCCCUCCAUCCCAUUUUAUAUAUUGUCAUUUCUUUUUAGUUCGUUCCAAAAAAAAAAAAAGCAUCUUUCCUUAUUUGAUAACUAUUUAAUGGCAGCAUUCCAUUUUAUCCUUACUGAAUUCCACUAAAUAAGAAAAGAUAACUAAAAAGUAAACUUUUAAGAGAUAAUUUUGUAAACUUUACAAAGUCAUCAUUUAUUUCUUAAACUCCAUGUCCGGUCAAAAAGCAACACAUAAAAUGGGAGGGAGUAACAAAUUAUUACUCCUAGCAGUCUCUGAAACAACAAAAAUCACCAAAACUCCAAGACCAAGACAUUACGAGCAAGACAAAAUACAGCUGCCUGCUUGCUACCUACCACCUAUGCUAUGUAGCUUAGCCAGAAAAUGAACUUACUAUUUUAUCAAGGCUUGUUCAAGUAAAUGCUUGGAAAAAGAUGGUCUUUUUAUCAACAACAUACUCAUUAUCUGCCCAGGGUAAAGUGCACGCAGUCAGUACCAAUACCUUACUGACGAGGUAAAGAGGUUGCUUCCGGACUCUGACUCAAGACAAAAACAUUCUUAAAAAAAUGACAUAAUACAAGAAUAGGAAAUAAACCAACAGAUAAUAACAAAAAAUAGGCCUACCACAAAGUAGUACGGCACUCGACCUCUCUGAAACAACAAAAAUCACCAAAACUUCAAGACCAAGACAUUACGAGAAAGACAAAACACUAGCAGAGACACACUCCUACGUACUGCAAAUGUACCUUAACUAGUAAAAAAAUGAACUUACUAUUUUAUCAUUAAAGCCUCGUUCAAGCAAAUGCUUGGAGAAAGAUGGAUGCUUGCUUGGAUCUACCUCUAGCAUUUUCAAAAUUGCAAUUAGUGCUGAAGUUGUACCGUACGAAUAUUUGUUGUUUUCGUUUAUGCAAAUUUCAUUUUCACACAAUAUUUGUGUGAGGGGUGGGUCAUAAUAUCAUGAGAAAUAAGCUAUUUUGUUUUUUUACCACGUGGCAUUUCUCACUUUUUCAUGUAUAUCUCUCUUUCCUAGUCUUGUAAACUUUUUUCUUUUUUUCGUUUAAAUGAAAGCCAUGUAAUAUAUACGGCCUAUAGAUUGAGUUUUGUUAGUGAAGAGUUGAAAAUUCCUCCAAGGCAUGAUGGGUUUUAAACAAGUUUUAAAUUUAGAUAAAGAUAGAUCCAUGUUAAUUUUUAAAUAAUCAAAUAUGUAGAUGUAAAGUUAUGUAUUAAUUGAACUAUAAAUUCGGAAUGAAGAUAUGCUUAAAAGAUUAGCAAAAUUACAUAUUCUUAAAUCUCUUAGGAAUAAUGUCAGAAGUCAUAUUUCUAUUAUAUACACUAAAUAUGAGACUUUACAGUAUUAGAAUCUAAUUUAUAGGAAAGCUAGUAACUUAGACUAAUACAAUGGAUCCUAUCUUCUAUAAUAUUCUAAAAAAUGAACAUUUAAAAAUCAACUAAUGCCGAAUAAAUUACAUGGCCUCUAGUUUAUGUUAAAUGCGUGUACGUACAUCUAAUUACGGAGUUAGCAGAAAGGUUGUUGAUUAAUCAAAUCGAAUGAAUAAAUAUAUUUAUUUCUCCAUACAGCUUGCAAAUGAAGCAAAAUAGAUGUAUAUUCAUCAAUUUGGCUCUAGCAUUCAAAAGUACUAUCCAACUUUACAACGACUUUUCCAAUAUAAUUAAUCUGCAAGGGAACUAUCAGUAUCAGGUAACAACACAAAGACUAGUAAAGUGAAAUGACUAUCAGAAGUAAGAUUUCAUCAUUGACACCACCACGAUUUAUUAUUUGAAUCCAAUUAUAGAAUUUUGAUGCAUUUUUUCAUCGUACUAAUAUAAGAUGAAUUGCAAAUUAUAGCAUUAUUUGUAUAAGUUUUGACUAUCUAAAUUUUUUAUUUAAAAUAUUGAAUUAUUCAUUUCAAAAUAUUGAUCAAAAUCAAUAUAAAUUAAACCUCGAAAAAUGUAAAGGUAACCGAGGCUGUAUUAAAUUUGAAUUUGUAUUUACUGAUUCAAAGGAAUAGAAGGUACAUGGCUAAUUCAUUGAACAAUUUAAUUGGGAGUCGUUUUGUCUUCUCGGGUAAUAACCCACAUUUUAAUAUUAAUUCAUCAUACAAAUUAAAACGUACAAUUAAUUUUUGGUACAAUAUUAGCAUAACGAAUAUUGUAGGAUUGAAGGUACAGAUGACAUUUUAAUUUAGUGCAGGAGUAAAAUGGUAAUUCAGUUUUGCCCCAAAUCUUUUAAACUUUUUAGUAUAAGUAGUUUAGUCUAUGUGCGUUACACAUCAAUAUAAAAGAUUAUCACAAUUCAUUACAAAGAAGUUGGUAAAAUAUUACUUAGUUGAAUUUCAGAUAUUCAUGUUCUGUCGGAAUUAUUGAACUGCAAAUAUCUAACAAUUGUCAUCAAAUAAUUUGUGAUGGUCAACAAUUUUCAUAAUACAGGAAAUUGAAAAAAUUUAAAACAUACUGUAUUAAUUAACUAAUACAAUAUAGCCAACACGUGACCCAAAAGAAUAUAUGCAAUUAUACAAUUCAUCAAACAUCUUGCUGAAAGCAUGCAAAGAAAAUUGAAUUUGAUGGAAAUUAAAAUAAUAAAUUAUCUACUGAACUGGAGAACUAACACUUUUAUAGUUAUGAUCUAAAUGCAAAAUAUAUAAGAAAAGGAUUCUCACAAAAUUAAAAAUAAAUUAUCUGCCUCAAUUUCAUCUUAAAAAUUCAGUAUCCAAUUAAUUAGUUAAAUUCGAUAGACGUGAAUCACUUAUUAAGUCUAUCUUUAUGCAUAAAAGUCUACACAAAUUACAAGUAAAAACAAAUUCAAAUACAUUAUUACUAAAACAAACUUAUUUUCUUUUUGGCUAAGUAGCGAACUUGAAUGCAGAAGCAAUAACGAUCACUCAAAAAGAAAAAUCAUAGUAGGUUUAUAGUUUAUAUUAGGUGAAAUGAUCUGAUGGACCCUUGUACUUGUCCGAGUUUGUAAUGUGGACACUUCUACUUAUCUUUUUGUCAUCGACGAAAUGAUCAGAUAGACCCUUAUACUAGACUGGGUUUGUAAUGUAGACACUUCUACUUACCUUUUUGUCAUCUGAACUUUUAAAUCCAUCUAAACAUGAUAUUUUAAACCCCUUUCUCAUUAAAUCAAUAUGGGUGUGAUACAACCGACUCCACGUGGCAUGCCACAUCAUUUUUAAGUGACACAUAAGAAAUUAAGUAUUAAAUAUAUAUAUAUAAUAUAAAUAAUAUUUAAAAAACAAAGGAAAAAAAAAAACCCUCCUCCUCAUUUUCUUUUCUUCAUACUCUCAAUCCAUUCCAACUCUCACAAUACUUUCUCAACUACCAUUAAUCUAAAAAGUUGAUCAAAUAAUUGUUACGACAAUCUUAUAAUCAAAACAAUUCAUAAUAAAAUUCUUAUUCCUUCACAUCUUUUUAAAGGUAUUUAUUUUCUACAUGUAUAUCCAUUUUCAUGGAAAAAAUAUAAUUUACAAUGAAAAUAGGUGGUUAUGUUAUAGGAGUUGAUAUUGGAGUUGGCGAUUUAUUUGCCAAAGGAAGGGGGCGUCGAAGUGAGUUUUUGUUUGGGGGAGAAGGGGGAGGGGAAUGGUGGUGUUGGGUGGGAAGUGGGGGACGAUGAAGGCGGGAGGGGAAUGGUAGUGCUAGGUGGGGGGGUUUGGGAGGGGAAUGGUUGGCUGGACGAUGUUGUGGUGUUGGUGUUGGGUGGAGGGUGCGGGAAGUGAUACAAGAAUAAUUACGGAUAUGGACUUAAGAGAGGGCGUGUUGGACCCGAGACUUGGUGCGUGCAAUUGAAGUGUAAAAAAGGCCCAAAACACAUCAAAAUCAAUCCACUCCUAACACUUGAUGGGCGCCCUUUUGGUCAUCUUAGUUUAGGGCUUGGAAAAGCCACCAAAACCGAAAUGAGGGUGAUACUAGUGUGGAAUCACUAGUGUUGCAAAACUUGGUUCGAAACCUUGGUGCUUGAGUGGCUCACGCCCUCUUAUGUCAUUGGAAAAGUGUAAGUGUUGCUUUUUACAUCUAUUAAGGGUCUUAGUGUUUGAAAUACACUUAGGUUCUUAGUUCUUGUAAAAGUUGAUGUCUCACUACCUAUUUUUACUUCUUUUAAUCGUUUGUUGUUGUUAUUAGUGAAACCAUUGAUUCUUGUUAUCUGUGUUAUUACUCAUCUUGUUCAUCUUGUGUAGUUGCUGCCUUGGUGUGAUUUCUCCUUGUUAUUGUUGAGUUGGUGGCUGGUUUGUUACCAAAAGGAGGUCCUACAGGUUGUGUCUCCUUUUUGGGUGUUGUGUUUUCUUCUUGUUCUUGUGUUUUGUAUCUUGUUUCCGUGUUGUGGAUUGAUUUCACUAUCAUUUGAUGUCUUAAUUCUUUUGAGUCAUUGUAAUACGUCCUUGUGUUUUCCUUACUCGUUUGAGUCAUUGUAAACAUUGGAUUCACCUCUCAACACCUCUCGGAGUACAAGCAAGCUUACAACAUUUGUGAGAUUGAGUGUGACGGAUUCGAGAGACAAGAAAUAAAAAGAGAGAGUGAGGAUAUUUUUGUACAACUAAUGUGUUUUUUUUGUUGUUUUGUAGGUAACUUCUUGGCCAUAAUGGAAACCAUUUUGGCCUACCUUGAUUCUAUUUCCGAAAACCAUUUUCUCUUACCAUAUUUUAAAACUCCUUAAUUAUAUUAGGGGAAAUGAGUGAAAAGAUAAUUUUGUCUAAAGGAAAGUCUUUUAAUAAAAAUAAAAAAUUUCAAAUCAAUUUUCUAAAAAUUGUAAUUUAUAGCACCUUUCAUGUAGUUUUUGAAUUUCUAAAUUUUAAUUUUAAAAAUAAAUUAAUGUAAUCUAAUUUAGCUUUGAAACUUAAUCAAAAUGACUUAUGAAAAAUAAGAAGAGCAAUUAAAAAGGAAUAGAGGGAGUAAUGAGAUAGUAGCCUUUUCAUUAAGAAGAAAAAAAACUCAUCAACUUUGAAAAAUAAUAAAUACAUAAAUGUUGAUGAGUACCCUUCCCAGACCCCACUAUGUGGGAAUACACUGAAUUUAUUAUUGUUGUUGUAUAAAUGUUGAUGAGAUAAUAUUUAGAACUUUUAUCACGUGUUUUAGGAUUUCUUAAUUUUUAAAUUAUAUUUUUUCUCCUAUCAUAUUUCAAGACUCUUUAAUUAUAUUGGAGGAAAUAAGGAAAAGAAAGUUUUGUCUAAAGGAACGUCUUUUAAUAAAGGGCAAAAAUUUCAAAUUAAUUUUCUAAAAAUUGUAAUUUAUAAUACUUUUCAUGUAAUUUUUGAAUAUCUAAAUUUUGUUCUAAAAAAAUAAAUUAAUGUAAUCUAAUUUAGCUUUGAAACUUAGUCAAAUUAAUUUACGAAAAAUGAGGAGAGCAAUUUAAAAGGAAAGAAAAUGAAAUAGUAACCUUUUUUCAUUAAGAAGAAAGAAAUUUAUCAACUUAGAAAAAUAAUAAAUACAUAAAUAUUGAUGAGAUAAUAUUUAGAACUCCUAUCAUGUGUUUUAGGAUUUCUUAAUUUUUAAAUUAUAUUUUUUUCUCUUAUUAUAUCUCAAGAUUCCUUAAUUAUAUUAGAGGAAAUAAGUGAAAAGACAAUUUUAUCUAAAGGAGAGUGGCAAAAAUAUCAAAUCAAUUUUUUAAAAAUUGUAAUUUAUAAACUUUUCAUGUAGUUUUUGAAUAUCUAAAUUUUGAUCUAAAAAAAUAAAUUAAUGUAAUCUAAUUUAGCUUUGAAACUUAAUUAAAUUUACUUACGAAAAAUGAGAAGGGCAAUUAAAAAGGUAUGGAGGGAGUACUGAAAUAAUAAUUUUUUUUUUCAUUAAGAACCAAAAAACUCAUCAACUUAGAAAAAUAAUAAAUACAUAAAUGUUGAUGAGAUAAUGUUUAUCAUAUGUUUUAGAAUUUUUUUAUUUUUUAAAUUAUUUUUUUCUCCUAUCUUAUUUUAAGACUCCUUAAUUAUAUUAGGGGAAUAAGUAAAAAAAUAAUUUUAUCUAAAGGAGAGUUUUUUAAUAAAGGACGAAAAAUUUAAAUUAAUUUUCUAAGGGUUUCACACUUUUAGGGUCCGUUUGGCAAUGAAAUUUUUUUUCUUUUUUCCGAAAAUUUUUUCCGGAGUUGAAAAUUGUGGUGUUUGGCCAUGAAAAUUCAAAAAAUAAUUCUGAAUUUUUUUUUCUAAAAAGGAAAAACAGGUUUUUGUUGUUUUCACAAUUUUUCAACUUCAAUUUCAACUUUUAUUAUUAUUACAUAUAACCCCAAUCUUUUAAAUUUUUACAUAAAAUUCUCCUUAUAACAUUACUUUUUCAAUAUUACGUAUGUAGUAGUUUUAAAGAAUAAGAUAAUUAUAAUUUCAAACUUAAUGUUAUCCUAAUUAAUAUAUAUCUAUUUUUCUCUCUCAUCAUUAUUUUUAUCCCUUAUUUAAUUUUCUCCCUUAUUUAAGACAUUAUUUUAAUGCUAAUUUAUAUUUAUACCCAUAAAUAUAUAAAGUAUUAUAUUUAUAAUAUUAUAGAAAUAUACAAAGUAUGUUAUAUAUAAAGUUUAUAUCAUUUAUAUACCAUAUACACACAUAUAUAAAUAUACAAAGUAUUAAAAAACAUACUAAGCAUAUUUAUAAUAUGAGAAAAUACAUAAUUACCCCAUUAAUCUUGUCCGAGAUUUGCAAAAAGACACCUAAACUUUAACUUCGACCUAUUACCCCAUGAUUCUUCUUUAUUUCGUUGCAAACACAAUAUUUUGACCUCUUGCGUGUACACACGCUCCACAGAUGCGUGAAAGGGUUCAAAUUUGACUUUUUGGACCAAUUACAAGCUGUCAUGUGUAAAAUAAUUUAAUAUAUAAUUUAUAUUUUUUUAAAAAAAUAAUAUUUAUUUAUUUUUAAAAAUUAUUUNNNNNNNNNNNNNNNNNNNNNNNNNNNNNNNNNNNNNNNNNNNNNNNNNNNNNNNNNNNNNNNNNNNNNNNNNNNNNNNNNNNNNNNNNNNNNNNNNNNNNNNNNNNNNNNNNNNNNNNNNNNNNNNNNNNNNNNNNNNNNNNNNNNNNNNNNNNNNNNNNNNNNNNNNNNNNNNNNNNNNNNNNNNNNNNNNNNNNNNNNNNNNNNNNNNNNNNNNNNNNNNNNNNNNNNNNNNNNNNNNNNNNNNNNNNAUUAAAGCUCAUUUAACUAUCUUUAAAUCUCAAUUCAAUCAUUUAACUAUCCUUAAAAUUCAAUCCAAUCAUAAAACUAAUUUUUGAAUUGAUUUGAAUAAAAAAAAAAAACUGGACAGGGAGAGUGCUGGACGUGGAGAGGGGAGGGGAAGGUGCUGGAUUUGGGAGGGAAGAGGGGGUGGGGUGGGGUGUUUAAAUUAAAUAAAAAGAAAAAUUAUAUUAAAAAGAUAAAAAUAUAUGAAAUUAAAAGUAUUUGACACGUGACAACACCUGAUUGACGCGUGUAUUUCACUCUCCUUAUUGUGAUUGAGAUUCAGCGAAAAAUGGUGUGUUUGCAACGAAAUAAAAAAGAAUCAUGGGGUAAUAGGUCGAAGUGAAAGUUUAGGUGUCUUUUUGCAAAACUCGGAUAAGAUCAGGGAGGUAAUUAUGUAUUUACUCUUAUAAUAUAAAUAUACAAAGUUUGUUAUAUAUGAAAUUUAUAUCAUGUAUAUACCAUAUACAUACAUAUAUAAAAAUACAAAGUAUAAAGAAAUAUAUUAAGCAUAUUUAUAUAUUUAUGGUAUAUGAUAUAAUAUACCAUAAAUAUGUAAAGCAUGUUUUACGUAGAAAUAAUUUAUUCACACACAGUAAUAUCUUUCAUGUAUAAGAAAAUUAAAGAAAUAAAUUAGCGGGCACCCUAAAAUGUAAUAACAGCUCAUCAUUUCCUAUUUUUUAGGAACAAAAAAUGAAGGAAAUAAAUUAAAUAAAUUCCUAAAUAAAUAAAUUUGUUUGAAAGAUAAUAUUUGUUACCUAAAAAAAGGGAAGCAGUGAUCUGUUAAUAUAAUAUCCAUAUUUAAAAUUUUCAAAUAUGAGAAAACAGCUAUUAAUGUAAAUAUUAUAUAUGCCAUAAUUGAAAUUCAUUAAAUAUGGCCAUGUAAAUGUAAUUAUUUUUAUAAUAGUGGCUAAUUGUGUUCUUUUUUCAUUAGUAGGUAAAUUUUAGUUGGGUGAUUUUGAUAGUUUGUAAAAGUUAGGGUAUAAAAUCAUAUUUUAAAAAGUUUUUUCAAAAGUCAAAAAGAAUUUCAAAAAAGAUAUGGUCAAACACAAUUCCAACUCCAGUUUCAACUCCAACUCCAAAAUUUUUUAAUUUUCAUGAUCAAAUGGCUACUUAAUAUAUUGUAGAUGUAGAUGUAGAUAGAUAUGAUAUGAUGAUUAGUGAGUUAAUAAGAUUGAAGAUAUUCACCUUACAACAAAUUAUUACUCGUCCAUUUCACAAAAUAUUUGUUACAAUUUUCUUUUUGAAAGUGAAACGAUAUGAACUUUGUCUAAUAUUUUAGAUAUAUCUUUUUCAUCAUAUUGAUAUGAGAAAAACUGUAAUUUAUAAUACUCCUCGUAUUGUUUCAAAUAUCUAAAUUUUAAUUUUAAAAAUACAGAAUCAGUUUAAUCUAAUUUAAUUUUGAAAAUUAGUCAAAUUAAGUCUUGAGAGAUGAAAUGUGACAACUAUUUUAAAAUGAAUGGAGUAGUACAUGAUUAGUUUUUCUAUAAAGAGAGUAACCGGAGGAAGAAUCUCUCGGAGAAAUAUAUUGGCCUAUGCAUGAUGCCAAAGUAGCUAGGUUUAAGUCUAUACCAAUCGGAAACCUCCAAAGAAAAUUCGAAAGCUUUGUUACAUGAUAGUUGUUGAUUUUAGUUUGGCUGCUAGCUAGGUACCAGUUGAUACAAUGCUUUGUUGGAAGCAAUUAAAGCAUUGCUUGACCUUGUUCCUAUUGUUCAACAUUACCUUCCUAGUCAUUGGAACUAGGCCCAUCGCGUUCCAUAAGGUUAUGUGUAGUUUUCCACUACAAUAUGAAAUUAUCAAAGCUCAAAAGGUGUAAUACCGACUAUUGUUUUUUUAUUUCCUUGGUUUUCUUCCCGCAGACAGUUGUGGAUUUCUUUUCUUUUCUUUUCUUAGCCUUUAUACUAUGAGAAGGUGAUAGUUUACUGAUGAAGAGGCAGUUUACUUACGUCAGAGUAUAAAGUAAUUAAUGACGACAUUAAGAAAUGUUAGAAAAAUUGCACAUCUAUGGAUGCUAACAAAAAAUUGGCAAAGUGAAUGGUUUGCACUUGACAGAAGACUUCACUAUGGGGUCCGGAUCCAGUGCGUCCAACACUUAGUUUUACAUGAUACAUAUAUAUCCUGACGUUUUGCAUACACUUUUAUCUUUUGAUCCUUUAAGCAUGAGAAGUGAAAAUUCUGACAAAACAAAUCAUGAGAAAAGGAAAGAGCAAGAAAAUUGGAAAUUGACUUGCAUUGUCACAACAUAAGAAUAGGGUCCAAGAAAACUUUUUCACAUGAGAAAAAGUUAAUGCCCUAGGAGAAAUACUUAGAGUGUUAUGGUCCAAGGUAUAUUUUUUACUUGGCGGAAUGCAUCGCCAGAUCUUUCAACUUGACAGGAUCUUUCACUUUGACAACUCAAAUGGACGUUGCUCAUUUUAAGUACCUAAACCAACUAAAAACUGUGUCAUUUUGACACCUUUCGGCACCAGCUCUGGUGCGUGGAUUGCACACCCUUCCAGCAUGGAUCAAAUGACCAAUUAAUUUGUGCCAACUCAUUUUAAAUGGCCAUGACAUCAUUAUAUACACCCACCAUUUAUUUUUUAAACAAGAAAGGACCAAAAUGCAUGAAUUUUUUUACUAAAUCAUUACAAAAAAGCACCCCCCCUCCCCACAACAUCUUUCCCACCCAAUUUUCUUUGAGCUUAAUUUUCCAACCACAACGACUGAAAAAAAUAUGGAGAAGGAGGAGGUCAAUUGAAUCAGAAAAUUAAUUAACGUAAGAAAAGCAUAAGACUCCAGUAUAGAGUGCGCAAUAGAAGUUGAAGCUUUGAACUUAGCACGUAGCAAAUUAAAGCAUAACCAGAAGAUGGCAAAGAUAGAAUAUCUUCCCAAUUACAAUCUGGCAUAUAUCCGUAUUACAUGCCUACACACAACCAAUCAUCAGCCCAAAAAAAAAGAUCAAAAAUUAACUUGUACAUUAUUAUCACAACAAAAAGUAAAAUAAGAGUGGAUAACCAACUUUCAAAUAAGAGGGAUAAAGCGGGUGUUGAUUUCUCUAGUGGCGCAGACAUCAGAGUCUUGUACUUGACUCUGUAAUGAGAAGGGCCAAAAAGAGAAACAAUAGUAACUGAGUAGCUAGUAAGAACCUAAGAAUCCAUUCUCUUGACUUGCUAGCUCAACUUGCAUUGAUCACCCUCUUGGAACUUUAUUUUUGUCUUUUGGUUUUUGGAUGCUAUCUUUUUUAUUGCCUUGGUCAGUAUCCUACUUCUUUCUUGGUGGAGUUUCUCCAAAUGAUUUGUUUCAGUGUUGGUUGAAGCCAUUGAGAAACUCUACUAGAGAUUGAUUCAACUGAAUGAAAAAAAAAAAAAAAAGUGAGGAACUAUGGAGCUUUUGCUAGUGAAUUUAUAGGAAAAUUUUCCUUUGUCUAAUUGGCUUAUUAAAUAGGGAUUAGAAAGUAGGAAUGAGUGACCUAAAUAAUGGAUUAAAAAAAAAAAAAGACCAAAAUAUAGCUUGUAAAAAUAAAGUUUAUACUUUCUAUGUAUGACCGUCAUGGUCAACAGAUUAUUAUAUUAUAUAUUUAGUAAAUAAGAUCUUUAAAAAAUAAAGUGACCAAAAAAGCAUAUAAAAAUAAAGUUUUGUUAUGAAAUAUAUAUAAAGAAAGGACAAGAAGAAUAAAUAGAAAUACAAGAGAGAGACUUCUUUAUUUCUUUCGAUGGAUGAGAGAUCUUAAAAUUGAAAAUACAAUGAACAAAACCUUUCUAUUUAAAGGAGAAAUUUACUCGUAGUCUGAGUAAAAGACAGAUAUUUCAAAUCCUAAUAGUUAUCAAAGUAGAUUUUGAUAGACAUUUAAUGUAAAUACAUUUAUAACACUCCACCUUGAAUGUCUAAUUAGUAGAUAAUGUGCCUCGUUAAAACCUUACUAGAAAAAACUCCGUAGAAAAAAAUCUAGUAAAAGAAAAAGAGUACACAUCUCUAACAAUACGCAUAUAGGCUACCUCAUUAAAAACCUUAUAGGAAACCCAGUGGGAUAAAACCUCGUAAGAAAAAAAGAGUACAAUGCGUAUUAACUCCCCUAAUGAGAUCAUCCUUGAACCUUUGCACAAUCUUCUUGAAAGUUGCAAUUGGAGGAGACUUGGUGAAUAAAUCAGUCACAUUGUUACUUCAACGAAUCUGUUGCACGUUAAUAUCACCAUUCUUUUGUAGCUCAUAUAUGUAGAAAAACUUUAGUGAAGUGUGCUUCGUUCUAUCUCCUUUUAUGAAUCCUCUAUUAAGAUGUGUUAUGCAUGCUGCAUUAUCUCUGUAUAAAACUGUGGGUACAUUGUCACAUUUUAAACCACAUUUUUUCUCGAAUGAGAUGUAUCUUGGACCUCAACCAUACACAUUCUCGACUUGCUUCAUGAAUAGCUAUUAUCUCAGCAUGGUUUGAUGAAGUGGCUACGAUAGAUUGCUUUGUAUAUCUCUAAGAUAUGACAGUAUCCCCAUAUGUGAACACAUGUCUUAUUUGACACCGAGCUUUAUACGGGUCAGAUAAGUACCCAGUAUCAGCAUAACCAACAAGAUUAAGACUGCAGGCUUUCGGUAUUUGACUUGAAUUAUCUUUUGAAUGAGGAUCUGAUGAUAAUUCCUAACAUAUUUCAUAGCUGCAUAUAAUCUCCCCCUUAUGUUAGGAAAACUAACAUACAUCCUCCAUUUUCUUUAAGGAUUUCAUCGUUGUGCAUCUUGGUAUAUUCAUUAAUGGUAUACCGCAUAUCAAAAUUAUUAAAUGAAAUAGUUGGUUCCUGACCUUGAACCAAUUAAGAGGGAAGAAAUAAUCACAAUUUAUUGGUCUAAUGCAUACAAGUGCUAUUGUAUGCAACAUAUCAUAUUUCAGACCAACACAUAAGACUUUGUUCUCAUUAGUAAUGGUUUAGCUAUUUAUCAAAGUCAUUCAAUGCUAAACCAUCAUCAUCAAGAUGAAUUGUCUUGAUUACAUAAUCUGAAAGUUAAACUCUUAACUCAAUUUUAUUGAGCAAGCAACAUUUAUGAAUGUCAAACGUCAGGUUGACAAUAAGUGUACAUGUGAUCAUCUUAUAUCAGUGCAUCUUAAUAGAUCACAGUACAGGUGAACGGGCCCAUAUUCACCUUUUAUACUUUUCAGAUUUAAGGGAUUCAAUCCCAACAUUAGUUGGUCCAACUAACUUAUCAUGAGAACAAGCGACAUAAAUAAUUCUCAAAAAAUCUUUUAGUUCUUCAAUACAUGUCUAAUACUCAAUAUGCACAUCUUCGAGAUGUCACAAUCGUUCACAUAAAUUUAUGAACUUUUAUUCUAGUAAACUCCAAGUUUACCAUGGCAUGUACUUUUUUCUUUAGUAAAUUUCAGAUUUACUAUUACAUGAAUAAAUUUCAGAUUUACUACUUUAGAAGUAGAUUUCAAAAUAACUUUUUUCAGUUAUUUUGCCUUAUUCGGAGGUGAGUUGUGAUACCAUCACAAUCAAGUGCACGUUUGCAUUAAUAAGGUUCUCAUUCCCCAGGAAUGGAAUAUAAUUGUGCCUUAAGCCUAUCAAAUUAUGAUAACUUAUAACUUCUUUCAUGAUAUUGCCACUUCAGGAGCAAAUCGAGGCAUAAGUAUGAUAGAGAGAAUUCCUCUAUAUUGCUACCACAUUCACUUCAAGAAUGGAGCAAGUUGUCAUCUUUCAGACUUAUCAUAUCUUGCUACCACAUUCACUUCUUGGAAUAGUGAAUAUUCAAUGGACAAGUUUCAUGACUUUUCAUCAAAAACACAUUAUUUUGCCUUAACCAUCAUAAUAUCAUCAAUAUGGUGCAUUGAGAUUCAAACUCAACGUUUUAUCCACAUAAAGGCGUCUUAGGCAUAAAUCAAUGGGACUUGAACCCAACAUAUUAUCAUCCCUUUUGAUAAUAUUUUUCUUGAGGAAUAAAUUUAAAACAUAAAUGGUUUCAAACCUAUUAUUUUUUGUCAAAUCCAACAAUAAUUAUAUUAUUAGUAGCAAAAGACAGAUAACAUAAGAAAUUACUAACCUUUAAAUUACUUUUAGAUUUAUAAUCUCAUCUUGUUUGGUAGGGUCUUGUGUUGAUAACGUGUUAUUAAAUAUAAAGAAAGAACAAGAAGAAUAAAUAGAGAGAGAAGAGAGAGACUUCUUUAUUUCUCUUGAUGGAUGAGAGAUCAUAAGAUUGAGAAUACAAUGAACAAAACGCCUCUAUUUAAAGGGACAAUUUACUCUUAGUCUUAGUAAAAGACAGAUGCUUCAAAUCCUAAUAGAUAUCAAAGUAGAUCUUGAUAGACAUUUACUAUAAUAUAAAUACAUUUAUAACAAGUUUCUAUUUUUUUUACAUAUGAUCGUUAUGGUCAAUUAUUUACUAUAUAUUAAUUAAUUAACUUUAAAAAAUAAAGGUGACCGAAAAUAUCGUUUAAACAAAAUAAAAUCGAUACUUGCAUCAGAAUAGAUUGUCUUAUAUUACACCAUAUUUUGUUCAGCGCUCGGCCUUGAGUGAACAUGGGAUGCUUUGAGCACAAAGCUACCUUUCUUCUAGUAACAAAGGAAAAUAAAAGCAAAAUGAAUGAAUCGACUUGGUAAAGAACAAUGCUAAGUUGAAUUUUGUAUGAUAGUUGGGAACCUAACAUCAAUGAAUUUGUUGCACUUGGUGAAUAAAUCAGCCACAUUGUCACUUGAACGAAUCUGUUGCACGUUUAUAUCACCAUUCUUUUGUAGCUCAUGUAUGAAGAAAAACUUUGAUGAAGUGUGCUUCGUUCUAUCUCCUUUUAUGAAUCCUCCAUUAAGAUGUGUUAUGAAAGCUGCAUUAUCUCGAAUGAGAUGUAUCAUGGACCUCAACCAUACACAUUCUCGACUUGCUCCAUGAAUAGCUAUUAUCUCAGUAUGGUUCGAUGAAGUGGCUACGAUAGACUGCUCUGUAUAUCUCCAAGAUAUGGCAGUAUCCCUACAUGUGAACACAUAACUUAUUUGAGAUCGAGCUUUAUACGGGUCAGAUAAGUACCCAGUAUCAGCAUAACUAACAAGAUUAAGACUGCAGGCUUUCAGUAUUUAACUUGAAUUAUCUUUUGAAUAAGGAUCUAAUGAUAAUUUCAAACAUAUUUCAUAGCUGCAUAUAAUCUCCCACUUAUGUUAGGAAAACUAACAUACAUCCUCCAUUUUCUUUGAGGAUUUCAUCUUGGUAUAUUCAUUAAUCGUAUACCGCACAUCAAAAUUAUUAGAUGAAAUAGUUGGUUCCUGACCUUAAACCAAUUACGAGGGAAGAAAUAAUCAUAAUUUAUUGGUCUAAUGCAUACAAGUGCUAUUGUAUGCAACAUAUCAUAUUUUAGACCAACACAUGAAACUUUGUUCUCAUUAGUAAUGAUUUAGCUAUUUAUCGAAGGCAUUCAAUGCUAAACCAUCAUCAUCAAGAUGAAUUGUCUUAAUUACAUAAUCUGAAAGUUAAACUCUUAACUCAAUUUUAUUGAGCAAACAACAUUUAUGAAUGUCAACGGCAGGUUGAUAAUAAAUGUACAUGUGAUCAUCUUAUAUCGAUCCAUCUUAAUAGAUCACAUGACAGGUGAACGGGUCCAUAUUCACCUUUUAUACUUUUUCGAUUUAAGAAAUUCAAUCCCAACAUUAGUUCGUCCAACCAACUUAUCAUGAGAACAAACUACAUAAACAAUUCUCGAAAAAUCUUUUAGUUCUUCAAUAAAUGUCUAGUACUCAAUAUGUACAUUUUUGAGAUGUCACAAUCGUUCACAUAAAUUUAUGAACUUUUAUUCUAGUAAACUUCAAGUUUACCAUGACAUGUACUUUUUUCUAUAGUAAAUUUCAAAUUUACUAUUACAUGAAUAAAUUUCAAAUUUACUACUUUAGAAGUAGAUUUUAAAAUAACUUUUCUCAGUUAUUCUGCCUCAUUUGGAGGUGAGUUGUGAUACCAUCACAAUUAAGUGCACGUUUGCAUUAAUAAGGUACUCAUUCCCCAGAAAUGGAAUAUAAUUGUGUCUUAAGCCUAUCAAAUUAUGAUAACUUAUAACUUCUUUCAUGAUAUUGCUACUUCGGGAGCAAAUCGAGGCAUAAAUAUGAUAGAGAGAAUUUCUCUAUAUUGCUAUCAUAUUCACUUCAAGAAUGGAACAAAUUGUCAUCUUUCAGACUUAUCAUAUCUUGCUACCACAUUCACUUCUUGGAAUGGAGAAUAUUCAAUGGACAAGUUUCAUGACUUUUCAUAAAAAACAUAUUAUUUUGCCUUAACCAUCAUAAUAUCAUCAAUAUGGUGCAUUGAGAUUCAAACUCAACGUCUUACCCAUAUAAAAAUAUCUUAGGCAUAAAUCAAUGGGACUUGAACCCAACAUAUUAUCAUCCCUUUUGAUAAUAUUGUUCUUGAGGAAUAAAUUUAAAACAUAAAUGGUUUCAAACCUAUUAUUUUUUGUCAAAUCCAACAAUAAUUAUAUUAUUAGUAGAAAAAGAUAGAUAACAUAAGAAAUUACUAACCUUGAAAUUAUCUUUAGAUUUAUAAUCUCAUCUUGUUUGACAGAGUCUCGUGUUGAUAAUGUAUUAUUAAAUAUAAAGAAAAAACAAGAAGAAUAAAUAGAGAGAAGAGAGAGACUUUUUUACUUCUCUUGAUGGAUGAGAGUGUUGUGAGUUAAGGAAGAAGAAGCAGUAAACAAUAAUAAAACAGUGAUAGAAAAAUAGGAUAAAGAUAAAAGGAACAACUAUUCUAUAUUUAGCUAAGUAUUCUCAUUCAUUUAUCCAAAACAAGGACUGUACAAUGCUUAAAUAGCCAAUAGAAAGAGUAAAGUACAAGCUCCAGCUGGCUCUCCUAGUACUAAAAAUUAAAUGUCCUUCAGUGGACCUAAAAAUGCCCAAUCACUCAAACAUAGUUGGGAAUUGCAACAUAAUCGAAACUUGAACUUAAAACCUAUUGGGACUAAAUUGUAAAUAAACUAGAGCUGAAUUAUUUAAGCUUCUAACUAACAUAACUACCAGGUUCAUGCUCCAAAGCCUGAAGUACUACUCUUCACAGCUUUCCAACCUCAUUCUUGCAUCAUUCCUCUUUCCUUAACAGUUUUCUUAUCCUCAAGAAGCAAAAUCUGGAAACCUCAACUUCAUUGUAGAAUAAUCUUCCCAUGUUACAUCUUCUUUUGACCCCUGAUCCUACUGUACCAAAACCUGUUGAAUAACUUUGUUUCCUCUCUUGAUCAUCCUUCUCUUAAUAAUUUCCUUAGGCUGCACACAAUUAGGGGAACAUAUAUCCACUAUUGGGGGGUGAUUAAAAUCAGCAGGCACUGCAUAGCAAGGUUUCAAUUGAGACACAUAAAAAGUAUGAUGGAUGGCCACUUGAGAAGGUAGGGAUAACUUGUAAGCCACUGGACCUAUCAUUUGCAAAACUUGAUAAGGUCCAUAAUACUUAGCUGGUAGCUUAGAGAAAUGUUUGUUGGACAUAGUGAACUGCCUGUAUGGUUGAAUCUUCAAAUACACCCAAUUACCUUCUGCAAAUUGUCUAUCAGUCAUGUGUUGAUUAGCUAAGGAAACCAUUUUCUGUUGAGCUCUAGUGAUGUGAAACUUAAGCAACUCAACCUUGAGUUCUCUAGUGAUGAGACUUCUGUCCACCUCUUCUUCUGCUGCAUCUCCUGGAACAUAUGAGAUGUGAAUCGGUAGGGGUUGGCCAUAAAGGGCUUCAUAGGGUGUAGUUUGCAUAGCUGACAGAAUCGUGGUAUUAUACCACCAUUCAGUAAGUGACAAAAAUUUGACCCAAUCUUUUUGACUGUGAGCACAAAAACACCUCAGAUAGGUUUCCACUGUUCUAUUAAGUACCUCUGUUUGCCCAUCUAUUUGAGGAUGGUAAGCCGUGGAGGUACUUAGAGUCACACCCUGUAUUGCAAACAAAUCUUGCCAAACUUUGCUCAUAAAUAUUGGAUCCCUGUCACUGAUGAUGUU
rnacentral:lncRNA from 1 species